CAAAAUUCUUUGGUACUGCUCAGUAGAAGGAUGUAAGGCAUUGUCCUAUACCAAUGAAGCAAAAUAAUAGCGGAUCUGUUCAUAAAUCAUGAUGAAAAGUAUUCGACAACAUGUUGCAAGAAAAGAAAUAUGACAGCGUCCAAAAUCAUUACUCAAAGGUCAGUUUCAACGAAUUUGCCGAAGAAUCUGAAGAUGACAAUCAUUAUAUAGAUCCAUUAUUAAUUUUAAAAAGAAAGAAAAUUCGAAACAAAUUGAGGACCAACAUUGGCCUAUCAAGAAUAAUAAGUAAAUAUGGCAAACUGAACAUCUUCCUCAAACAACUCUCUCACAAAAAUAUGUAUUAUAUGAGAGAUUUGGGCAAUACGCUGCUCGGAAUCAGAUGGCGCUGGAUCAUCAUUACUCUAUUUUUAGUAAACAUGGGCAGUUUUCUAUUUUUCGGAACAUUAUGGUGGAUUAUUGCUCGUAAUAGUGGGGACCUUGAACGAACGAAUGCAACAGAUCCUUGUGUAGUUAACACGAUAACAUUAACAGGCUAUUUUUUAUUGAGCGCCGAAACUAUAACAACCAUAGGAUAUGGCUAUCGAUAUCCAACAGAACGUUGCCAGUUCGGAUGGUUUAUGCAAGCCAUACAAAUUUUAUUCGGUAUGGCCGUUCAAGGUACACUUGUUGGCAUAGUUUACGUGAAAAUUACGAAGCCUAUAACUACAAAAUCAUCUUCAUUGUUUAGUAAAAGAGCAGUUAUAUGUAUGAGGGAUGGCAAAUUACGAUUCGUGUUUAGAAUCCAUGAUUUCAACAAAAAAGUUUGGUGCGGAACGAACAUAUCUCUAUAUUUUCUAGAUAAAGAGAUGGUAUCACCCGAUUCAGAAUUCGAGAUGAUACAAAUGAAGAUAGAACCGUACGGCCUGCUCAUUUUCCCCCUAGAAAUCGAACACAUAAUCAACGAAAACAGCCCAUUAUGGACGUUUCGUCCCCUCGACAUUCUAAAUUCAAGAUUUGAAAUAAUAGCCGUGGCGGAAGGGAUCUCCAACAAAACUGGUCAAGUUUCGCAGAACAGAACGUCUUAUUCGAAUUCCGAUAUUCUUUGGGGUUAUCGAUUCAUGCCGUGCGUUGCUUACGAUGAAAUGAGAGGGGGAUUCGUUGUAGAUUAUAAAAAAUUUAAACAAGUGAGAGCUUUCGAUGCACCUCUAUGUAGUGCUAAAAAACUCACAGAAACUUAUAAAAAAAUCAGCAAAAUUGAUGAGCAGUCUUAAAAGGUUAGAGUGUUUAUAAUUAUAUUAAAAAAACAAUUAAUAUUUAAUAUACCCACUACUGGAAUAUAAUUACGUUGGUAUUAAAAGCAUUGAAUAUAAUACCUUUACGAACGGCUUUAAAUCAUCCAUUUUACGUAGGAAAAGUUUUGGUUUGUUCCAGCAAACUAUAACUAGUUCAUGCGCGAUAUGCCAAUCAACGAGUUGUCAAAAUAAGAUGAUGCCCAUUUGAAAACGGCUGCCGAGGGGUAAACAAAUGAUUUUGCCAUAAGCUUCUGUGUGCAUAUUUAUCUGCUAUGUGAAGUUAUUUGUCGGUUUUUAGACAUCAUUAUUUCCAGUUUUACUGGGAUAGGCCUCCAAAAGGGUGGCUAGUUGAAGAAGUGUGAAAUUCUCUCAUGGAAACGUGGAUUUGUUGGGUUUUUUUUUUCAAGAAUGCAGUAAUGUGCCUAGUGUUGAAAUUAUUGAAGUUGGGAUUACAAAAGAGUGCCAACACGACCCGGCAUUCGCAGUUAUCAAUAUUUAUACGAGGUUGUUGGAGAGCUGUGUGGAUUUAAACGAAUACAUGUUCACUUAACGAGCGAGCAUUGCUUCUGGAGGUAAAACCUUGUAAUCUAUGAAAGUAUAUAGGGUAACUGCAAGAGAACGACUGAAGACUUGCGAUGGAUUUUUACUUACAUUUUUUUGGAAGCUACUUGGGAAUAUACUGUUACGAGUUCGUCCACGUCAUAGGCCGUGAAGCCUAUCCAAUCCGGUUAUAAUGGAAUUCUAAAAUUUGACGAAUUAGCGGUUUUUAUUACAGCGACGAUUUGUUUACAUUGUUUUUUUUUAAACUAAUUUCUAGUAAGUUUUUGUAUUCAUUUGAUUGUCUGUUUAUUUUAUAUAAUUUUGAAAAAUUUGUUUUGUAUAUAAAGGAGUUUGCUUAGCCGAGUUAGUUAGUUAAUUAAAUAGAAGUCGUAAUGAACGGAGCGACAUAGAAAAGUAGCCGGUGAAGUUAAAUAAAUUAUAAAGUUAGUUAAAUAUUAGUGAUAAAUUAAUUAUUAUAUAAGUUAGUUGAGUCUAGUGUCAGUGCUUAAAUAAUUUAAGUACGUAACAGAAUGUUUAAUAAAUACGAAAAACAUUACAAUAAGCUUGUUCGUAAGUUUAGGUCAAAGUCUACUAGCUUUUUCCUCAACGUCAUCAUAAAAAAUAUCUUUAUAAAAUUUUUUCAAAAACCUUUCAAUAAACGAAGAUUAUAACAAAAAAAA